UAACUCUCUCUCCCAAAUAGCCUUCCUCGUUACCGGAGAUUACGAGGAGAAGACAAACCACCAUCGGCGGCAACGGCGGCGUUAAAACUGGAAAAUCUGUUAAUACUCAUCUUGCUAAUCCGCUAGGGUUUCUCAAAAUGGUGAGAGAUAAGUUGAAAACUAAUCGAAAAGCCAUCUUGUCCAACUUAUUAAUUUUCUCUUCCUUAAAGUUGUGAGUAUUUUCUGCCGAAGCUUUAAAUCUAAUUAGAAAUCUGUUAGGAUAUUUUUGUACUAUAAUUCAUCCCUUUUUUGCAAUCGACUUUAUGAGGAAAAUAUAAAAUUGCACCCUAAUUUCAUCCUAUUUUCUACUGUAAAGGUCGCACGAUUUUCGCCUUUGAAGCAGAAUAGUAGCAGCUUUCGCGGUCUUCUUGUCAAGGCAGAAUAUCCCCUAGGUAUAAAAUUUUCUUUUUUAUUGCUGAAUGUGUUAAGAAUAAUUGAGUUCUUACAAUAGCUUCCUCUAUGUUUGAGCAGGGAUCAAUGCAAUAUCUGAGCUUGUAAAAAUCAGAUCUUUUUAAUAUUUGUCAGCGACAAGCAGGAGGCUGUUGCUGCUACCACUGCUAUCCAAGAGGAGAUAUUUUCCGAGAUGAGAAUUGGUGAGCUUUAAAUUACUCAUGC
rnacentral:lncRNA from 1 species